rnacentral:lncRNA from 1 species
GCUGGUUAAAAUGGAACGUGAAAAAUCAAGAACCGAAGCUUUAGAGGAGCUUCAGCAAGAAAAGCCGAUUGACAGGAUCGGCUAUGUGAUAAAUUCGGCCCAGCAGGCUGAUGACGUGGUGUGCCACAAGAAGGCCAAGACGGCCGAUAAUGAUAUAGUGAAAUCGGUUGUUAAAGCCGAUACGAAAAAUAUGGUGAAAUCGGCUGUUACAGCCGAUAGUGAAAUGUCAUAUGAUAUGAAAGGGCGGACAACCAAAUUGAAUUUAGACGAGCC